rnacentral:rRNA from 1 species
CAGCAGCCGCGGUAAUACGUAGGGUGCGAGCGUUAAUCGGAUUUACUGGGCGUAAAGCGUGCGCAGGCGGCCCGUUAAGACAGGUGUGAAAUCCCUGGGCUCAACCUAGGAAUUGCGCUUGUGACUGGCGGGCUCGAGUACGGUAGAGGGGGGUGGAAUUUCUGGUGUAGCAGUGAAAUGCGUAGAGAUCAGGAGGAACACCGAUGGCGAAGGCAGCCCCCUGGGCCUGUACUGACGCUCAUGCACGAAAGCGUGGGGAGCAAACAGGAUUAGAUACCGUGGUAGUCCACGCCCUAAACGAUGGGUACUAGCCGUUUGGUGCGCGAUAGCGCUGAGUGGCGAAGCUAACGCGUGAAGUACCCCGCCUGGGGAGUACGGCCGCAAGGUUGAAACUUAAGGAAUUGGCGGG